UACGUAGGGGGCUAGCGUUGUCCGGAAUCAUUGGGCGUAAAGCGCGCGUAGGCGGCCCGGUAAGUCCGCUGUGAAAGUCAAAGGCUCAACCUUUGAAUGUCAGCGGAUACUGUCGGGCUAGAGUCCGGAAGAGGAGAGUGGAAUUCCUGGUGUAGCGGUGGAAUGCGCAGAUAUCAGGAGGAACACCCGUGGCGAAAGCGGCUCUCUGGGACGGUACUGACGCUGAGACGCGAAAGCGUGGGGAGCAAACAGG
rnacentral:rRNA from 1 species